rnacentral:rRNA from 1 species
UGGGGAAUUUUGGACAAUGGGCGAAAGCCUGAUCCAGCAAUGCCGCGUGUGUGAAGAAGGCCUUCGGGUUGUAAAGCACUUUUGUCCGGAAAGAAAUCCUUGGCUCUAAUACAGUCGGGGGAUGACGGUACCGGAAGAAUAAGCACCGGCUAACUACGUGCCAGCAGCCGCGGUAAUACGUAGGGUGCAAGCGUUAAUCGGAAUUACUGGGCGUAAAGCGUGCGCAGGCGGUUUGCUAAGACCGAUGUGAAAUCCCCGGGCUCAACCUGGGAACUGCAUUGGUGACUGGCAGGCUAGAGUAUGGCAGAGGGGGGUAGAAUUCCACGUGUAGCAGUGAAAUGCGUAGAGAUAUGGAGGAAUACCGAUGGCGAAGGCAGCCCCCUGGGCCAAUACUGACGCUCAUGCACGAAAGCGUGGGGAGCAAACAGGAUUAGAUACCCUGGUAGUCCACGCCCUAAACGAUGUCAACUAGUUGUUGGGGAUUCAUUUCCUUAGUAACGUAGCUAACGCGUGAAGUUGACCGCCUGGGGAGUACGGUCGCAAGAUUAAAACUCAAAGGAAUUGACGGGGUCAUAGCUG